AUCAGCAAACCUUAGGUAUUUUUUCUGUCAUUUUGAUUAUUUAUUACUUAUUUAACUUUAUUGUCUGCUAUCUAUAAUUCUGUAAGUUUUCAGAACAAAUGACUAUAGAAUGUACUUGGAUUUUGCUGUGCAGAUUACCAUCUCUAUCCUUUGUCAGCUUCAUAGGGUUCUGGUUUUUCAUAUGCAAUUUUAUCCUGUCAAAGUUCAGCAUUUUAGACAUCAAAGAUGUUUGUUGUCUCUGAAAGAGUUGCAAAGGGGUUUGCUAUCAAUCUAUUUGCUAGACGCCUUGUAACUUCUUGUCAUGGCAUUCCCUUGGGCUAAAUAAGAGUGAAGUUUUUUAUUGAUUGAAGUUUUCUGCUGCUAUCUGCAGUGUCUUUGCUUCAGCACUCUCCGGUUUUCGAAGAAAGUUGUUUAGCAAGAAUGUUGAUGACAAAUAUUUGUGGGCACAAGCUUUGACCGGUUUGCAAACUAGCAUUAAUAGCGAAAUUAGAAAUUUAUAUUCAACUGCAAGAUUUACAGUUUUGAAAGAGCUCGAAGCAGUUCAUACAAGUGUAAAGAAAUUGUAUCCCAUGAUCCAAGAUGGUGUGGACUUUCAGAGGGACUAGAUCUCCGUACAAACCAAUAUGAUGGCUUUUUUCAUGUAGUUUUAAUUGGGCGUGAUGCUUUGCUCUAUAAUGUUAGAGAGAGUAGUAGUGUCUUUGACCCAAAGCUAGGUUGCAAAGUAGUAGAAAGAGUACAAUCUUAAUUGUUUAGGGCUUGAUGUACAUUUUUUUGUAUUUGAUAUUAUUCUAUUGAUUCUUUUCUAUUUGAUAUUAUUAUGCCUGAAUGGCUUUUUUUU